rnacentral:rRNA from 1 species
AUUGAACGCUGGCGGAAUGCUUUACACAUGCAAGUCGAACGGUAGAGGGGGCAACCCCUCGAGAGUGGCGAACGGGUGAGUAAUAUAUCGGAACGUGCCCAGUCGUGGGGGAUAACGUAGCGAAAGUUACGCUAAUACCGCAUACGAUCUACGGAUGAAAGCGGGGGACCGUAAGGCCUCGCGCGAUUGGAGCGGCCGAUAUCAGAUUAGGUAGUUGGUGGGGUAAAGGCUCACCAAGCCAACGAUCUGUAGCUGGUCUGAGAGGACGACCAGCCACACUGGAACUGAGACACGGUCCAGACUCCUACGGGAGGCAGCAGUGGGGAAUUUUGGACAAUGGACGCAAGUCUGAUCCAGCCAUUCCGCGUGCAGGAUGAAGGCCCUCGGGUUGUAAACUGCUUUUGUACGGAACGAAAGGUUUCCAUUAAUACUGGGAGCUCAUGACGGUACCGUAAGAAUAAG